rnacentral:rRNA from 1 species
UACGGAGGGUGCAAGCGUUAAUCGGAAUUACUGGGCGUAAAGCGUGCGUAGGUGGUUUGUUAAGUCUGUUGUGAAAGCCCCGGGCUCAACCUGGGAAUGGCAAUGGAUACUGGCAAGCUAGAGUGCGGUAGAGGGUAGUGGAAUUCCCGGUGUAGAGGUGAAAUUCGUAGAUAUUGGGUGGAACACCGGUGGCGAAAGCGGCCCCCUGGCCCGGUCCUGACGCUGAGGCGCGAAAGCGUGGGGAGCAAACAGG